UGGGGAAUUUUGGACAAUGGGCGAAAGCCUGAUCCAGCAAUGCCGCGUGUGUGAAGAAGGCCUUCGGGUUGUAAAGCACUUUUGUCCGGAAAGAAAUCCUUGGCUCUAAUACAGUCGGGGGAUGACGGUACCGGAAGAAUAAGCACCGGCUAACUACGUGCCAGCAGCCGCGGUAAUACGUAGGGUGCAAGCGUUAAUCGGAAUUACUGGGCGUAAAGCGUGCGCAGGCGGUUUGCUAAGACCGAUGUGAAAUCCCCGGGCUCAACCUGGGAACUGCAUUGGUGACUGGCAGGCUAGAGUAUGGCAGAGGGGGGUAGAAUUCCACGUGUAGCAGUGAAAUGCGUAGAGAUGUGGAGGAAUACCGAUGGCGAAGGCAGCCCCCUGGGCCAAUACUGACGCUCAUGCACGAAAGCGUGGGGGCAAACAGGAUUAGAUACCCUGGUAGUCCACGCCCUAAACGAUGUCAACUAGUUGUUGGGGACUUCAUUUUCCUUAGUAACGUAGCUAACGCGUGAAGUUGACCGCUGGGGAGUACGGUCGCAAGAUUAAAACUCAAAGGAAUUGACGGGGUCAUAGCUG
rnacentral:rRNA from 1 species